UACGUAGGUGGCAAGCGUUGUCCGGAAUCACUGGGCGUAAAGCGCACGUAGGCGGCUUUUUAAGUCAGGGGUGAAAUCCUGGAGCUCAACUCCAGAACUGCCUUUGAUACUGAGAAGCUUGAGUCCGGGAGAGGUGAGUGGAACUGCGAGUGUAGAGGUGAAAUUCGUAGAUAUUCGCAAGAACACCAGUGGCGAAGGCGGCUCACUGGCCCGAUACUGACGCUGAGGCACGAAAGCGUGGGGAGCAAACAGGG
rnacentral:rRNA from 1 species